AAAGGCAGAGGCUUAACCCACUGAGCCCCCCAGGUGCCCAUAGAUGUACACUUUUGAACAAAGUUUAUAUUUAGCAAAUGACUCCAAGUCUAUGUGCUGAAAUAUUAACAGUGGUAUUACAUACACAUGCAUACCAUGCCCAUACAGAACUUUUCCUUUCUACACAUGAACAUGUUCUUCAGGGGAUAAGCAUUAUAUUUAUAAUGAGAACAAAGUCAUGGUGAGCAAUACAUUUUCCCUUGUAUAAUUGUAUCUAGGUUGCUUUUUCUUUAAAGCCCUGAAACCUAAGGUGCCUGGGUGGCUCAGCUGGUUAAGCCACUGCCUUUGGCUCAGGUCAUGGUCCCAGAGUCCCAGGAUCCAGUUCCUCAUCAGGCUUCCUUCUAAGCAGGGAGUCUGCUUCUCCCUCUGACCCUCCGCUGGCUUGUGCUCUCUUUCUCUCUCACACUUUCUCUCUCAAAAAAAAUAAAGAGAUAGAUAGAUAGACAGACAGACAGAAAGACAGUACUGCAAUCUAUAUUGUCAGGUAAGUCAAGGUAGAGGUUGAAUUGCUCAAAUGUCUUGGCAACCAACCUCUCCUUGCUCAUUUUGGUCCUGUGAGUCCUGAAGUACCUUUGAAGAACCCCCCGAGAUUCCAGCUCAGUUUCUCUCCCCUCGACUCCACACCCAUUUGCUGAGUACCAUGUAUCCGGCUCUGUGCCAGGGGUCGGGUCGGGGGAUUGUGCCAAAGAUGGGGUGAUGGCGGGACAAAUGUGGCUGGGCCCCUGAAGGAAGGAAAUACAUUCCUUUAGUGGCUGGCAUUUCGAGAUGAAAGAAUUAUAGGCAGGAGGGAAAGAGCUAGAAGGUGGCUUCCCAGCUGGGCAGCGGUUCACCACAGCUGCAACCUGAGUCCCCCACUGUUCUCUCAAGCUUUGCUGAGGCUUGAGGGACCCGGGUAUGCUAUGGAGCUCUCUGAAGAGAACCCCGCUUCCCUGCUCACUCAGAAAUCUGGAGAUCUGUGAAGCUAUGGAGAUUUGGGUCCCUGGGGAGCAGCCACCAGGCCAGGCUCCUGGUGGCAUUUCCUGGGGCCUGGAGGGAGUACUGACUCCAGAGGGCCUACGGCUGCCUGCGCAGAGCUGCCUCAUUGCCUGGAUGAAGAGUGACUCCCCUGUCCUCAGGCCUCAGAGAGAGGUGGCCUUGGUGACCUGAAUCCUUAGGGAGAGAGGUUGUGCCUGGCAGGUUCCCAGGAGGCUCAACCUGCAGCUACCCUCCCUGCCAGGGCUGAGAGCACCAGCUGCCCCCGGCUGCCAACGAGACGAGAGAAGCAGGGCCAAGGUGUGGAGCUCUGAGGCCUGGGCUCUAUCCUGGCCCUGCCACUCAUUCUCUGGGCCCAUUUGGUGAUACUUGUUACCCAGGAUGUGCCAGACACGAUGUGAGAUACUUUCCAUUUUUAGAAAUGUGUUUUCUCUCUUUCCCAGGUGAGGAUACUAUGUCUUAGAGAGGCUCUGUAAAUUGCACAAAGUCACACAGCUGGAAUUUCCAGUUGGUUCUCUCUGGCUCCAAAGCUGUGGCUGUCUUUCCGUCACAGGGCAGGUCUCUACAUCUCCCAUCCCUUCUUCCUCCUGUAAAGAGGUUUGGACUCAACUUGAUGAAGGGAGGAGAGGCAGGAAGGAAGCCCUUCAGCUGGAGAAGCCACCCGAGGGCUUACUGUCAUUGCCAUCGGAGCCACUGGGCUUGGGGGCAAGGGUCCCCCACCAUUGCUUGGGUUUGCGCCAAAGUUUCUGGUUUCUCAGGGGUGGGGGCCAGAGCGGUCCCAUCUGGUGUCUGAGGCACUCCCUCCCACCCACCUCCACUGGCCCCAUGCCACCCAGUAGGCUGUUUUUAUUCAUCCUUUUCUUUCCUUCUUUCCCUUUCCCCACCUAGGGUCAGAAAAUCAACUUAAGAAGAAAAAUACAAAUAUAGUGGUUUCUCCAGUGAAAACCCUGAUCACAGGAGAAGCUGUGACUGGAGCCUACUUUCUGCAAACUUUCGAGGAUUCUGUAGGCUCUACUUUCUCUACCUGAAUCUCCCCAAAUCCAGGCUCGCUCUUUCCCUGAAGGCCAGCAGGCCCACAUCCUCUGCCCCUCAGGGUUCUGGGGGCAGACUUCCAGCCGUGGUUCUACAGCCCUGUCCCACGCCUCACUGUACCACCCUCCCAGCAGCCCUGCUUUGUUAUGGUAGAAGAAAGCAGCCCCUGGGCAUUUGGUCCUGUGACCAUUUUGAUGAAGUUCUAGAACCUAGGUGAGGUUCGGUGGGCUGAGGUCCGGAGCCGAUGACCAAGAAAGAAUUCUUGAGACAUCUCUGGUGCAAAAUGGUGGUUUAUUAAAGCACGGGGACAGGACCCGUGGGCAGGAAGAGCUGCUGCCCCGGGCCUGUGGAGUGGCUGGUUAUAUACACAGGAGUUGGGUAGGUGAGGACAAAGGGGUGUUCAGAAAGGCUAUUGAGGUAAAGAGUAUCAGGAUAUUGAAGGCCUGGUUACUAUCAAGCCAAGGCCACUUUCCCUCUAAUGAGGUAUUAACAUAAAGACAAUUGGGAGUCUCCUGGUGGAAUGUUACAUUCCAGCUAUCAACCGUACUUGUUAAUGAGAUUUAGGUUUAGAAGAAAUGUAACUUUAUUUUUCCUUCUACCUCCGCCUCCUUCAGUUUUUUAUGGAGGGGAGGGUGAUGUUAGGGCUUGAGGAACUGAGUUAUGGGUCUUUGGAAAUUGGGCUAUUGAUAAGGUAACUUCUUUGUUGUAAAUCUCAAGGACAUUUGCAAACCAAGGGAGACUCCUGCCUUACAGGACUGUGAUCUCUGCAAGCUAACCAUUUGUUCUUCUUUUAGGGCAGUCAGGGGUGCCUGAGGAAUGUCACACAUAUUACCAAGGGGAGUGGGUGGAGAGGGGGUGCAAGGCGCCAGCCCCUGCUCCAUCCUCAGCCAGCCUCCUGCUCCCUCAUCAAUUUGAAAGAUGAGAAAACUGAGGCCAUACAACUAGGAGGCAAGUCUGCCAUCUCUGAGUCCCGGCCCUUGGCUUAGAGAGAGCACAAGCAGGGGGAGCAGCAGGCAGAGAGAGAGAGAGAGACUCCCCGCUGAGCAGAGUCCCAUGUGGGGCUAGAUCCCAGGACUCUGGGAUCAUGACCUGAGGAGCUGACCUUGCCAGGGGCCAAAACUGUUAAUGAGGUCCCAAGAGGAAACCUGCCUGGUGGACUGAGCUCUGAACUGAAAGUCACAUGGGACUGGGAGGAUUCCCAGAGGUGUGACUUUGGGCAAAUCAGGUUGCCUUUCUGAGCCUGCCUUGCCAGGGGUUGGCAAGACAAUGAGACAACACUGCAAUGUUUGUGGCUUUGGAAAGGUGCUCAUCAUACGUUGGUCUGCAAAAACAGGUCACAAAAAGUUG